GGUAUUGGGACAUACUGGGGAAUACUGGGAAGCACUGGGGGUGGGGAGCACUGAGGUAAUGUGCAAUCCUGGGAGCCUACUGGGUGGCUUAAGAAGAUACUGGGAGACACUGGGCAUAAUGGGGAAUCCUGUGAGUGUCCUGGGAGGCACUGGUGAGGGAGCACUGGCAGUAAUGCAGGAUCCUGGGAGGGUACAGGGAAGCACUGAGGGAUACUGGGAAGCACUGGCGGGGGGCACUGGGGAUAAUGGGAGAUCUUGAGAUGGUACUGGGAGAUACUGGGAAAGACUAGAAUCUUUUGGGACAUACUGGGAGGCACCAGGGAAGGGUACAGGGGUAUUUGGGAGAUACUGGGAGGCACUGGGGGAUACUGGGAUGUACUGGGAGUGGGGGUAAUGGGAGAUCCCAGGAGGCUACUGGGAGAUACUAGGCAAUAAGGGGAGGAAGGAGGGCCUGGGAAACUAUAGGCCAGUCAGUCUCACCUCUGCAGGUCUCACCUCUGCAGGUCUCACCUCUGCAAGGGGGUGCAGCCUCCUACCUGCACCCCCUUGCAGCCCAGGUCCUGCCGGAGGAGAUGUCCCUGCUGCACCAGAGCCCCCCCCCCAAAGUCACAGAACAGACAGGGGUAGCCUUUGGUGGGGGGUCUCAGCCAUGCCAGCCCCCUCCCCAUGACAGGCACAUCUGGGGGUGCCGGGACCUGCCACUCACUAGUGCCCAGGGGCCAGGAUGGGCAGGCGAGGCUGAGGGAAGGGGGGGGGGGGGGGGGGGACCCUGUUGCAUGGGGCUUUAAACCUGGUGCUCUGAGAAUUGACGCAACACUGGGUUGAUGAAUAGCAGAGCGGCUUGUCUUAAUAACUACCAACACGCUACAAAGCUGAGCGGCAGAAAAAGCCUCUUUCCCAGUAUCAAAUGAGCUAUUAGUCUUGGUAUUAUUUUAGCUGACCCACGCAGGCAGGAGGCAAUUCUUGUACUGCCUCAAAGCCUGGGUGCUUCACCUUUGGCUGGGUGCAGGACAGCUGCUUGGUCUUCCCUGGACUGCACGUGCCUUGCUGGCAAAUCUGCUUAGUUCAUAUACUGUUUAAUUGUCCAGCUUUGAAGCAUUUUCCCUUGAUGGUUGGCCAGUCAAAAGUCUGAACAAAACAGGGAAAGGGUACCAUGACAUUACAGCUGUUAAAUUGCCUGGCUCGUUUUGGAUUUGUCUAGGUGUGAAGACGUGUGUUUCUCUAAAGCCGCUGCAAUUCUAGAUUAAUUACAGGUGACAGGUUUUGAGUGGUUGAACAGGAUGCUUAGAGGCAAAACUGGCUGGACCAUCAGGCUCAGAGAGUAGUAACCAAUGGCUCAAUGUCUAGUUGGCAGCUGAUGUCAAGGGGUGUGCCCAGGGGUCCGUCCUGGAGCUGGUUUUGUUCCAUAUCUACAUUAAUGACCUGGAAGAUGGGAAGAGUGCACCCUCAGCAAGUUUCCAGAUGACACCAAUCUGCGGGAGUAGUGGAUGUGCUGGAGCACUUGAAACAGUCUGAAUAGUUGAGAUGGAUGGCUGGAGUGGUCGGAGAUGGUCCUUGUGUGGUUGGUCACUGUGGAAGAAACUGGAGAAGUAGCUGCAACCUUAGAAGACGUGGGAGCUGCAGGAGAUGGAAGGAGGGGGAGAGUUCAGGCAGACGUGGACCGCCCCCCACCCCCCCACAGCACCCCCAGGCAGCAUGUGGGGUGAGACCCAUCCCAGCAGAGUUGGGGGAGAACCCAGGGGUCCGAGCUGUCAGCUCUUCGCCUCCCCAGUCUUUACAGGGACUGAAAGAAGGCACCAGGGUGUGGAUCUUCUGUAUAGGUGUCCCAUUUGUUCCUGAUGUCUUGGACAGCACCAGCGUUACCAGUAUCCCCAGCACUGGGAGGGGAAGCAGUGGGUGCAGUCGUCUUCCCCCAGAAAGGACAAACAACAUACACACACACACACACACACACACACACACACUUCUCACAUAACACAGCAACACACCAGGGGUGACACGACUGCACGUGCACAGUGCCAGGCUUACAUGCGCGGGGAUGCAGGGUGCUGGCGCUGCGGGAGACUGGACAAGAUCUCAUGGCCAUACACAUGCCAUCCCCCCUGUGUCAGCUGGGGUUUGGCUGAAAGCCUGGGCGCUGUCGCAGGGAGAUGGGCACCUGGAUGCCAUUGGCCGCCCUGUUAUGUGUGCCCGCCCCCCCGGGAAAUGGCAGGAGGUGAUUGGCUGCUGCCGGCCCAAGGGGUGUGGUCACUGGCAGUGUGGUUCCAUGUGUAGAUCUGGGUGUGGGCAGAUGGGUGCGGGGGCAUAGGGGCAGCCCGGGGGUGGGCAGGGCCAGGGGUAGCGAGGUUGGGGCAUGGGAAGCCAGUGGUGAUGGCCCC